rnacentral:rRNA from 1 species
AUGNNNGUCGAGCGGAUGAAGGGAGCUUGCUCCUGGAUUCAGCGGCGGACGGGUGAGUAAUGCCUAGGAAUCUGCCUGGUAGUGGGGGAUAACGUCCGGAAACGGGCGCUAAUACCGCAUACGUCCUGAGGGAGAAAGUGGGGGAUCUUCGGACCUCACGCUAUCAGAUGAGCCUAGGUCGGAUUAGCUAGUUGGUGGGGUAAAGGCCUACCAAGGCGACGAUCCGUAACUGGUCUGAGAGGAUGAUCAGUCACACUGGAACUGAGACACGGUCCAGACUCCUACGGGAGGCAGCAGUGGGGAAUAUUGGACAAUGGGCGAAAGCCUGAUCCAGCCAUGCCGCGUGUGUGAAGAAGGUCUUCGGAUUGUAAAGCACUUUAAGUUGGGAGGAAGGGCAGUAAGUUAAUACCUUGCUGUUUUGACGUUACCAACAGAAUAAGCACCGGCUAACUUCGUGCCAGCAGCCGCGGUAAUACGAAGGGUGCAAGCGUUAAUCGGAAUUACUGGGCGUAAAGCGCGCGUAGGUGGUUCAGCAAGUUGGAUGUGAAAUCCCCGGGCUCAACCUGGGAACUGCAUCCAAAACUACUGAGCUAGAGUACGGUAGAGGGUGGUGGAAUUUCCUGUGUAGCGGUGAAAUGCGUAGAUAUAGGAAGGAACACCAGUGGCGAANGCGACCACCUGGACUGAUACUGACACUGAGGUGCGAAAGCGUGGGGAGCAAACAGGAUUAGA